rnacentral:rRNA from 2 species
UUUCCGUAGGUGAACCUGCGGAAGGAUCAUCC